rnacentral:lncRNA from 1 species
UUUAGGUCCAUAAUAUAAAAGCACAAUAAUUAAACUUAGAAUUCAUUCUUAAAAAUAUUUAAUUGUAGUUAGAUAUCUAAUUUCUCAAUUUGAGUUUUCUUUUUGUUAACAUGGUUUGUUUUUUCUAUCAUAGGUUUAAGAUAGAGGUGUUGGUAAUUUUGGGGUCUUUUUAGAGGGCAGUGCUUGAAGAUUAAUGCUAGAGAUAUGGUAUCUACAAAUUGCAUAUAUGUUUGAUGUAUUCUUGUAAUUGAAAGUACCUUAUAAUUUGAAAAUGGCUAUUUUGAUACUUGUUACUUACUUUUCUAUUAAUGUUGUGUCUAUCCUAUUAGGUAUCCAAGAAA